rnacentral:lncRNA from 1 species
GUCUACUGUGAUGAGGGCUGGGUCCCCUACUCCCUGUCUUCCCACAUUCCAGGCAGAGGGCUGAGCUCUUCUCUGCAAUCAGCCUAGGCUCAGGGCUGCGGUGCCAGGGGAAGUGACUCCACUCCACACCUGUCAGGACCUGGCUCCCUUCAAGUUUCCCUUGCUGAGUAAAUUAACAUGAGCAGGAGUGUAGAAAGAACUUGUCCUACUUCACAAAUUACAUGUUAAGACCCCAACUAUUUGAGGACUGCAGGACACGGUCCAUAAAUAUGGCUGCCUCCACCCAUGACUUCUGCUUGGGGUGACGAAGUUGAUGGGGUCCUGUCCUGUGCCAGGCACUGUGCUGGUCUCUGUGGAUUGCUGAGAGCUCACAUGAGUAUUGCCUGCCUUGUGCUAUGAGGAAAAAAAUAAAAGGGAAAGAAUAGGUACCUUGUGUAAAAUCAUACAACCAAAGUUCAAAUCCAGGUCUAAUGCAAAGUCUAUGAUGUACAGAAGACCUUUACAAUGGCAUUUUGAUCAAAUUCAGAGCCCUCUUUCUAAUGUUCUAAUACCUGAGGUUUUCCUCGGGAGAGUCUGUUCUGUCACUCUCAGCUGUGGGGGUUCCUGUAAGGGCAGGAACUGUUCUGCAGCCAGCCCACCCCAGCUCUUCCUGCACUAUGCUGCUGAGGCAGGUGAAUCACUUAAUUAGUCUUGGGUUGAAAUCCACUUUGUCUGCAAAUAGAAUAGCUACCCCUACUUUUUUCCAGGUUCUGCCAGUCUGUUUCUAUUGAUUGGUGAACUGAGACCAUUAACAUUGAUGGUUCUAACUGAUAUGUAUUGUCUUACCUUUGUCAUGUUAUUUUUCUGCUGUUGCCUUCCUUCUUUCCUCUUUAAUUUCUUUUUUUGGGGAGAGGGGUACUGGGGAUUGAACUCUGGACAUUGUGCUUGUGAAACAGGCGGCAGAACCACUGAGCUAAAUCCCCGGCCCAACUCUUUAAUUUCCUGCCUUGCCUGGUGGGUUCAUUUUGUUGUGGUUCUUAGACUUGUAAUCCUUGUUAUCUCUUUGUAGAAUAUCUUUCGGAGCCCUUUGGAGUGCUGCUUUGGUACUCAUGAAUUUCUUCAAGUGUUCUUUGUCAUGGAAGUAGCUUAUUUCUCCAUCAAUUUUGAAAGAUAGUUUUGCAGGAUACAUCAGUCUGGGUUGGAGGUUGUUUUCCUUUAGGGCUUGAAAUACUUCACUCCAAGGUCUCUUUGACUUGAGGGUUUGGGUUAAGAAGUCUGCUGUGAUUCUGACGGGCUUUCCUUUAUAGGUGAUUUGUUUCUUUUCUCUAACAGAUUUUACUAUUCUGUUCUUGUGUUAAAUUUCUGGAAUCUUGACUAUUACAUUCCUUGGGGAAGUUUUAUUUUUUUUUGAUCAUGGCUAUUUGGAGUUCUAUAUGCCUCAUUUAUCUGUAUGUCAAAUUCUUUUUUUUUU